GAAAACUGAGGUGGUUCCGGAUGGGCAUGCGUGAUAUUAGCUGGAUGGAGAGGUAACGGCUCACCAUGGCUACGAUAUCUAGGGGAACUGAGAGGUUAAUCCCCCACACUGGUACUGAGACACGGACCAGACUCCUACGGGAGGCAGCAGUGAGGAAUAUUGGUCAAUGGGAGGAAUCCUGAACCAGCCAUGCCGCGUGCAGGACGACGGCUCUACGAGUUGUAAACUGCUUUUGUACCGGGGUAAAAUGCCUUACGAGUAGGGUUUUGAAAGUACGGUACGAAUAAGGAUCGGCUAACUCCGUGCCAGCAGCCGCGGUAAUACGGAGGAUCCGAGCGUUAUCCGGAUUCAUUGGGUUUAAAGGGUGCGUAGGUUGUUUUAUAAGUUAGCGGUGAAAUACCGAUGCUCAACAUCGGGGCUGCCGCUAAUACUGUAGGACUAGAGAUCGGAUGCAGCAGGCGGAAUGUGUAGUGUAGCGGUGAAAUGCAUAGAUAUUACACAGAACACCGAUUGCGAAGGCAGCUUGCUAGGCCGGAUCUGACACUGAUGCACGAAAGCGUGGGGAUCGAACAGGAUUAGAUACCCUGGUAGUCCACGCAGUAAACGAUGAUAACUAGUUGUCGGCGAUACACAGUCG
rnacentral:rRNA from 1 species